AUUAGAUUAAAAACCAAUGCCCUUCGGGGCUCACUGGUGAUUCAUGAUAACUUCUCGAAUCGCAUGGCCUUGUGCCGGCGAUGGUUCAUUCAAAUUUCUUCCCUAUCAACUUUCGAUGUUUGGGUAUUGGCCAAACAUGGUUGCAACGGGUAACGGAGGGUUAGGGCUCGACCCCGGAGAAGGAGCCUGAGAAACGGCUACUACAUCCAAGGAAGGCAGCAGGCGCGCAAAUUACCCAAUCCCGACACGGGGAGGUAGCGACAAUAAAUACUGAUACGGGGCUCUUUUGGGUCUCGUAAUUGGAAUGAGAACAAUUUAAAUCCCUUAACGAGGAACAAUUGGAGGGCAAGUCUGGUGCCAGCAGCCGCGGUAAUUCCAGCUCCAAUAGCGUAUAUUAAAGUUGUUGCAGUUAAAAAGCUCGUAGUUGAACCUUGGCCCUGGCUGGCCGGUCCGCCUCACCGCGAGUACUGGUCCGGCUGGGGCUUUCCUUCUGGGGAACCUCAUGGCCUUCACUGGC
rnacentral:rRNA from 1 species